rnacentral:rRNA from 1 species
GACAGAGGGUGCGAGCGUUAAUCGGAAUGACUGGGCGUAAAGGGCGUGUAGGUGGCUAUUUAGGUUUGGUGUGAAAGCCCCCGGCUCAACCGGGGAAGUGCGCCAAAUACCGGAUAGCUAGAGUGAAAGAGAGGGCUACGGAAUUUCCGGUGUAGCGGUGAAAUGCGUAGAUAUCUGGAGGAAUACCGGUGGCGAAGGCGGCAUCCUGGACCGGCAUUGACGCUGAGUGAGCGAAAGCCAGGGGAGCAAACGGG